AUGAGCGAGUUUGGAGCACGGCGGUUCGAUUUGGUAAUCUCCAACGGCGUUCUCUGCAGGCUACCUGGUGACUAUGAGUUUGAUCCCCUGGGGCUCGGGAAGCAGCCAAAGGACCUGAAGUGGUACAUCCAGGCCGAGCUCGUGCACUGCCGGUUCGCCAUGGCAGGGGUUGCCGGCAUCCUCGAAACUGAUUUAUUCAACAUGCUUCAAACUUUUUCUGUUCGAUUUGGUGCAGGAGGAUGCCCGAGCUGA
rnacentral:rRNA from 1 species